UACGAAGGGGGCUAGCGUUGCUCGGAAUCACUGGGCGUAAAGCGCACGUAGGCGGACUCUUAAGUCGGUGGUGAAAGCCCGGGGCUCAACUCCGGAACUGCCUUUAAGACUGCAUCGCUUGAAUCCAGGAGAGGUGAGUGGAAUUCCGAGUGUAGAGGUGAAAUUCGUAGAUAUUCGGAAGAACACCAGUGGCGAAGGCGGCUCACUGGACUGGUAUUGACGCUGAGGUGCGAAAGCGUGGGGAGCAAACAGG
rnacentral:rRNA from 1 species